GGGUUUGGGCGCGCAUCGAACUCUGAAGGGUCGGGAAGGCCUGUCGUUGGAAUGUGGUUGAGUUCCAGGGAGUGUACAGGCUGGAGGAUGGGACAAGACCUAUCUCUGUAUCGAUCAAGCACGGCGUUGGUGUUCCAGCUCAUCACCGAUCCUAAGGAAUUCAAGUGCCUCCCAGGAUGAAUACAGGUAAUUUUUCCAACUGGGGCAUUGGGGUGGCCUCUGUUGUUCCCCACAGAGCAAAUGGGCAGUGAAGCAGUGUUACCUUUUUGCUCCUUCAGUUUCUUCCUUUUGCAAUGAUAUUCCUGGGGAGGGAGACAGCAAGCAGCACAGUUGGUUCUGUGAGGGUGUUCUCUUCCUUCACACAUAUGUCACUGUCAGAUGAUUUGAAUUGACAAUGCUGAUCCUCUGUGAGGUCCAACACUUAAUAGCAUGUUAGAGUUCUGAUGGCAGUUUACAUGAAUGAAAAAGUGUUAUCUUGUGAUAGUAUUUUAAAAUAACCAUUUGCUGCUGUUCUACAGGUUGUCUUGAUGGUGAUACAUUCAUCUGUCUUAAGAUCCCUGCUGAUCUGCUCAUGGUCAAACUCAUGGAAAGAGUUGAGAGUGGGGCACCUUGUUCCUGCAUCCUCAAAGGAGCAUCUUGUUCCUCUAUUUAAGCUUCCAGAGUUAAAAGGUUAGUUGAUUAAUGUCACCAUAAUAUAUGCCACCAAGUAAGCAGUUUCUGUGAUGAAUCAAACUAGCUCACUAUGAACUAACAAUGAAAAGAUAUGAACACCUGAGAAACUGGAGAACAGAGCAGUGGGAUACUGUCUGCUAGGAACUUAAUAUCACUUACAGUUUUGUCCUUUCCUAGGUACCUGUACCAUUUAGCGGCUUGUUCACUCAAAGGUGAGUGAUUUAUAUGUUGGCACAUACAGUGUACUGAGGGAGAAAAUGCCUUUUUAGGCAUCUACACAUGAUGACUUACAUGGAAUCUCGUUCGGCUGAUGAUUUGCUGUUGAGACUCGGAAAUCUGAUUUUUUUUUUCUUUUAAGAACUUAAGUGGGAACAAAUUUUAAUGUAGGAAGUAAGCAUUACUGACUCAUUCUUGUUUUGUUUUAGAUCCAUCUUUUCUGGAGCCUGAGGAUGAUUGGAGGUGAAAGGUGUAAGCCAUACUCUGCUCAACUCCAGUCUGAAACUAAGGUUAAAAGAACACGUACUUAACACACGGGUAAGAAUCCAACUCUUGGAGGACAUCAGAAGUGGAAUUUUCUUAUACAACCUACCUAUUCAAAUUAGCAUAUAAUCUUUCUAGCCUUUCUAAAUAAAUAAAGGGAUUUUUUUGUAA
rnacentral:lncRNA from 1 species